rnacentral:lncRNA from 1 species
CGGGGUGGCGGCCGGGCAGAGGCUGCAAUCUCGGCACUUUGGGAGGCCAAGGCAGGCGGCUGCUCCUUGCCCUCGGGCCCCGCGGGGCCGUCCGCUCCUCCAGCCGCUGCCUCCCGGGCGGCGCUCGCCGGCGCGGCGGCAAAGACUGAGACAGCUCCGCUGCCCGCUGAACUCCAUCCUCCCGGCGGUCGGGCGGCGGCGGCUGCGGUCGGUCGCGGCAGCGGCUCCGCUUCAUAUCUGCAGCUGGGGCUCGCGGGCGUCAGCGCCGCGACUGUCCCGGCUCCGCACUGCCCCGCGCCGCAGCGCAGCCGCGCCAACCACCACCCGCGGCCACCAUGGCCGGACGGGCUCCCUAAGCCCAACUUUUCAAGAAUAGUCAGUACAAUAAGAUAUAAAUAGAAACAACAAAAAGUUAAAAAGCAGGAGAACGAAAUUAAGAGACAAGAUCUCACUGUGUUGCCCAGCCUGGAGUGCAGUGGUGUGAUCACAGCUCACUGCAGCCUUGAAAUCCUGGUCUCAAAUAAUCCUCUAGCCUUGGCCUCCCAAAGUACAAGAAUUACAGGCAAUGGUCACUGCACCUGGCCUGGAUCCACUUUUAAAUUUGUCAAGAGGUUAUGACCAAGAAAAUUUAGAAUGAUUUAUCAUUCUAAAUAUAUAAAAAUAUUAUGUAUUCUCAUGCAAUGUAUCGACUCUACAAAAGAGAUGCCCUCCCCCACAGACACACACACACUCACACUCACUCUUAUCUUUACUUCCACUAAAACACACUCCUGUCUCAAUUUUAACUGUAGUUGGUAUCUCCAGUAGAAAGA